CCUACGGGAGGCAGCAGUGGGGAAUAUUGCACAAUGGGGGAAACCCUGAUGCAGCGACGCCGCGUGAGUGAAGAAGUAUUUCGGUAUGUAAAGCUCUAUCAGCAGGGAAGAAAAUGACGGUACCUGACUAAGAAGCCCCGGCUAACUACGUGCCAGCAGCCGCGGUAAUACGUAGGGGGCAAGCGUUAGCCGGAUUUACUGGGUGUAAAGGGAGCGUAGACGGCAGCACAAGUCUGGAGUGAAGUGCCGGGGCUUAACCCCGGAACUGCUUUGGAAACUGUGCAGCUAGAGUGCAGGAGAGGUAAGUGGAAUUCCUAGUGUAGCGGUGAAAUGCGUAGAUAUUAGGAGGAACACCAGUGGCGAAGGCGGCUUACUGGACUGUAACUGACGUUGAGGCUCGAAAGCGUGGGGAGCAAACAGGAUUAGAUACCCUUGUAGUC
rnacentral:rRNA from 1 species